rnacentral:rRNA from 1 species
GGGCCCGCACAAGCAGUGGAUUAUGUGGUUUAAUUCGACGCAACGCGAAGAACCUUACCAGGAUUUGACAUCCUGCUAACGAAGUAGAGAUACAUUAGGUGCCCUUCGGGGAAAGCAGAGACAGGUGGUGCAUGGUUGUCGUCAGCUCGUGUCGUGAGAUGUUGGGUUAAGUCCCGCAACGAGCGCAACCCUUGUCGUUGGUUGCUACGCAAGAGCACUCCAGCGAGACUGCCGUUGACAAAACGGAGGAAGGUGGGGACGACGUCAAAUCAUCAUGCCCCUUAUGUCCUGGGCUACACACGUAAUACAAUGGCGCAAAACAGAGGGAUGCAAAGCCGCAAGGCGGAGCGAAACCCUAAAGGCGUCUCAGUUCGGAUCGUGGGCUGCAACUCGCCCGCGUGAAGUCGGAAUUGGCUAGUAAUCGCGGAUCAGCACGCCG